UUGCGUGUAUGUACUUACCAUAAAAUUACAAUUGUAAAUUAAUAUUUUACAACUUUGCACAUUUUUUAGCUUCUUGCAAAAGAAACUUAUUUAAAAAUGAACAAAUCCAAAAAAUGUGAAAUCAUAUCUCGUCCAAAGUAAUUAAAGUUACGCGCGUCCUAGUUUUUUCUUUCUUCUUAACAGCAGAACCGCGAAGAAAGUGAGUUUAUAAGUAGGAAAUCGUUGGAGAUAUUUUUUUGAUCAUUUUCUCCAGAGCGAAUCUAUGAGUUUGAAAUAAAAAAAAAAAAAUCAGAACAUUAGUUAAAACUUGAUCAACGAACGAAUCAAAUCAAAAUUCAACUAAUAAUAUAAAAUGCCUGUAAAAAUAAUUUUGUUAUUGAUUGUGACACACAUUGGUUUAUCAAAUUCGACAUUCAGGACUUUUGCAUCAAAGGUUCCGUGUUCAAGAUUAGAAAGAGAGAUUUUUAGAAACGGCACCCGAAAGCUAAUAGAUGUUGAUUAUUUUUGGCCAAACGUCAAAAAUUUGAAAUCUGAUUUGGAAAAUGAUAUCGUCGAACAUAUUUAUGGCACAGAAGGAUCAGAAUUAUUUCCAAUUUUUUAUAAAAGGUGUGGUGGAACUGCCAAAAGGUUGACUCAACGAAAUUUGAAGGAAUUAAUUCUUUUUCUGCUCAAAAAUCAAGCGGCUGGUAGAUCGUUGCACCAUUUUACCGCACUUAACUGUCCACUGUUUAACCAUAACCAAAAACGUUACGUAUUAGAGAGCUCGGGAAUUCAACUUUGUUAUUUUAUUUUCGACAAUCACGAUUGCUGUUAAUUAUUAUGUAAUUUGUAAACAAUAUACUAAUUUUAUA